CCUACGGGUGGCAGCAGUGAGGAAUAUUGGUCAAUGGACGCAAGUCUGAACCAGCCAUGCCGCGUGCAGGAAGACGGCCCUAUGAGUUGUAAACUGCUUUUGUACGAGGGUAAACGCAGAUACGUGUUUCUGUCUGAAAGUAUCGUACGAAUAAGGAUCGGCUAACUCCGUGCCAGCCGCCGCGGUAAUACGGAGGAUUCAAGCGUUAUCCGGAUUUAUUGGGUUUAAAGGGUGCGUAGGCGGUCGGGUAAGUUAGGGGUGAAAUCCCGAGGCUCAACUUCGGAAUUGCCUCUGAUACUGUUCGGCUAGAGAGUAGGUGCGGUAGGCGGAAUGUAUGGUGUAGCGGUGAAAUGCUUAGAGAUCAUACAGAACACCGAUUGCGAAGGCAGCUUACCAAGCUACUUCUGACGUUGAGGCACGAAAGCGUGGGGAGCAAACAGGAUUAGAUACCCCAGUAGUC
rnacentral:rRNA from 1 species